UCGGCAGAUAACAUUGACCUCGGUCUGAAUAAUUCUUGAUAUCAUGCUCAGCCUCAUCCAGUAAUUGCUUAAUAUCAUCCAUUAUACAUACCGUUUAAAACAAAAUAUCAUUUUAUGACAAUUUUAUGUUACUUCAAAACAUCUUUGGUUACAUUAGUGCAAAGAAUUACGUUAAAAUUAAUGUUUUCAAAAAGGCAUACAAAAUUAUUUUAGUAUUUUAACAAAGUCAUUUACGUAUUUCACGUUUUAAUGCCACAGUUCCCUAAAAAGAUCGGUGACCGAAAUUGAAAGAAAAAUCAUUCCCGGAUCUUGAAAAAAAUGCUUUAUCAAUGCAUGUUCUCAAAGAAAGAUAUGUAAAGAAAUGUGCAAAAGACAUUUAUGGAUUAGAAUUGUACACGUUAGUAGUUUCUUUUUGCUCAAAACACAAUACUUUUUCAAAAAUAAUUACAAGAUAGCUGUACUAAAGCAAAAUCCGCGCUAAAACGUCGAUAAAUAUCGGGCUGUUUUGAGUUUGCUGUUACUCGAAAUAAGCGUCAAGUUGGCGCCAUAUUGGGGUAAA